rnacentral:rRNA from 1 species
ACGGCUCAGUAACACGUGGACAAUCUACCCUAUGGAAGGGGAUAACCCCGGGAAACUGGGGAUAAUACCCUAUAGGCUAUGGAUGCUGGAAUGCACUGUAGUUGAAAGGUCCGCCGCCAUAGGAUGGGUCUGCGGCCGAUUAGGUUGUUGUUGGGGUAACGGCCCAACAAGCCUGUAAUCGGUACGGGUUGUGGGAGCAAGAGCCCGGAGAUGGAUUCUGAGACACGAAUCCAGGCCCUACGGGGCGCAGCAGGCGCGAAAACUUUGCAAUGCGGGAAACCGUGACAGGGGAACUCCGAGUGCCCGUUAAAUCGGGCUGUCCAUCAGUUUAAAUAACUGGUGAAGAAAGGGCCGGGCAAGACCGGUGCCAGCCGCCGCGGUAAUACCGGCGGCUCGAGUGGUGGCCACUAUUACUGGGCUUAAAGCGUUCGUAGCUGGUUUGUUAAGUCUCUGGGGAAAUCUUCCGGCUUAACCGGAAGGCGUCUCAGGGAUACUGGCAGACUAGGGACCGGGAGAGGUGAGGGGUACUCCAGGGGUAGGAGUGAAAUCCUGUAAUCCUUGGGGGACCACCUGUGGCGAAGGCGCCUCACCAGAACGGCUCCGACAGUGAGGGACGAAAGCUGGGGGAGCAAACCGGAUUAGAUACCCGGGUAGUCCCAGCUGUAAACGAUGCGCGUUAGGUGUAUCGGUGACCACGAGUCACCGAGGUGCCGAAGAGAAAUCGUGAAACGUGCCGCCUGGGAAGUACGGUCGCAAGGCUGAAACUUAAAGGAAUUGGCGGGGGAG